CCCAGUCCGGACUCCUGGACUCCACCCCAGGCUUCCUGUUUAACCAGGGAAGUCAGACUUGAAGGGGGGAAGGCAGGGGUGUCACACGAGCAGGGGGCCUGGACUGGCCUGGUGCUGUGGCUGGUGAGGCAGGAGGCAGGAGGUUAGCACCUUGCAGGGGAGGAGGGGGCGAGCUGCAGGUCAGCUUCCAGAGGCUGUGGCAGUGAGCGGGUCACUGCAGAGUGGUUUACUGCUGGAGCGGAGCUUCACAGAGCACAGUGGGGGCUAAGAGUGCCUCCCCACCCCAGCUCAGGGCCCACAUUCGUGUGCUCCUUCCACAUGGAACUCCUGCCCGUCAAGCUCCUAGCCUGCCUGCAAGAGCAGAUGCACAUUCUCCUUCCUCCAUGGAGCCUCCUCUGACCCCUUCAUGCCUCUUCCCUGGGCCCCAAGCACAUAGUAGGUGCUUGGUUGUUACUCUGAAGUGAGUUGAGUAAAUGAAGGCGAAAACCCCAAACUGCUCA